AUACGGAGGGUGCAAGCGUUAAUCGGAAUUACUGGGCGUAAAGCGCACGCAGGCGGUCAAUUAAGUCAGAUGUGAAAGCCCCGAGCUUAACUUGGGAAUUGCAUCUGAAACUGGUUGGCUAGAGUCUUGUCGAGGGGGGUAGAAUUCCACGUGUCGCGGUGAAAUGCGUAGAGAUGUGGAGGAAUACCGGUGGCGAAGGCGGCCCCCUGGACAAAGACUGACGCUCAGGUGCGAAAGCGUGGGGAGCAAACAGGAUUAGAUACCCUGGUAGUCCACGCUGUAAACGAUGUCGAUUUAGAGGUUGUGGUCUUGAACUGUGGCUUCUGGAGCUAACGCGUUAAAUCGACCGCCUGGGGAGUACGGCCGCAAGGUUAAAACUCAAAUGAAUUGACGGGG
rnacentral:rRNA from 1 species